AAGAAAGUAAGAAAGGGCGCAUGGCGGAUGCCUUGGCUCACGGAGGCGAUGAAGGACGUGAUAAGCUGCGAUAAGCCUUGGGUAGGUGCAAAUAACCUUUGAUCCAAGGAUUUCCGAAUGGGACAACCCAGCAGGUUGAAGACCUGUUAUCACUACAGAGGUAGUGAGGCGAACGAAGGGAACUGAAACAUCUUAGUACCUUUAGGAAGAGAAAAUAAAUAAUGAUUCCCCUAGUAGUGGCGAGCGAACGGGGAAUAGCCCAAACCUGCUUUGUGGCAACGCUUAGCAGGGGUUGUAGGACCACGCUGUCGUACUUAGAUUGUGAGAAGAAUGUUCUGGAAAGAACAAUCAUAGAGGGUGAUAAUCCCGUAUUCGAAGCAUGACGAGACGUAGUGGUAUCCUGAGUAACGCGGAACACGUGAAAUUCUGCGCGAAUCUGCCGGGACCAUCCGGUAAGGCUAAAUACUCCUAU
rnacentral:rRNA from 1 species